GGUACAUGACAAGCAAGCUACGGUGAACUGCGUGCCAGCGGCCGCGGUAAUAUGUGGGUGGCUAGCGUUAUCUGCAGUUAUUGGGCGUAAAGCUCGUGUAGGUGGUUAGUUAAGUCUGAUGUUAAAUCCCACGACUCAACCGUGGGGGGUCAUUGGAUGCUGGGAGACUUGAGUGCAGAAGAUGAGAGUGGAUUUCAAUUUGUAGAGAUGAAAUGUGUAGAGAUAUGGAGGAACAUCAGUGGAGAAGGCGACUUUAGGGACUGUAACUGACACUGAGGGGCGAAAGCGUGGAGAGCAAACAGGAUUAGAUACCCUGGUAGUCCACGGGGUAAACAAUGAGUGCUAAGUGUUAGAGGGUUUCCGCCCUGUAGUGCUGAAGUUAACGCAUUAAGCACUCCGCCUGGGGAGUACGGCCGCAAGGCUGAAACUCAAAGGAAUUGACGGGGGCCCGCACAAGCGGUGGAGCAUGUGGUUUAAUUCGAAGCAACGCGAAGACCCUUACCAGGUCUUGACAUCCUCUGAAAACCCUAGAGAUAGGGCUUCUCCUUCGGGAGCAGAGU
rnacentral:rRNA from 1 species